AGGACACAGACGGAGCGGAAGGCACGGUUGUGUGACGCAACCUAAUCACCGCCCCGACAGUCC
rfam:Giardia intestinalis strain GS GS_B_0036, whole genome shotgun sequence.